GAUGAACGCUGGCGGCGUGCCUAAUACAUGCAAGCCGAGCGAACGGACGAGAAGCUUGCUUUUCUGACGUUAGCGGCGGACGGGAGAGUAACACGAGCAUAACCUACCUAUAAGACUGGCAUAACUUAGGGAAACCGAUGCCCAAACCGAUAAAUAUUUUGAACCAUAAGGUUCAUAAAUUACAGACGGUAUUGCUGUCACUUAUAGAUGGAUCCGCGCUGCAUUAGCUAGUGUGUAAGGUAACGGCUUACCAAAGCAACUAUGCGUAGCCGACCUGUGAGGAUGGUCGGCCACCCUGGAACGGUGCCGCGGUCCAGACUCCUACGGGAGGCAGCAGUGGGGAAUCUUCCGCAAUGGGCGAAAGCCUGACGGGGCAACGCCGCGUCAGUUAUGAAGGUCCUCGGAUCGUAAAACUCUGUUAUUAUGGAAGAACAAAUGUGCAAGUAACUGUGCACUUCUUGACGGUACCUAAUCAGAAAGCCCCGGCUAACUACGUG
rnacentral:rRNA from 1 species